CCCCUAGAUGUUCUGGGCCGCACGCGCGCUACACUGAACAGUUCAACAAGUCUUAACCUUGGCCGAUAGGUCUGGGUAAUCUUUGAACGCUGUUCGUGAUUGGGAUAGACCUUUGCAAUUUUUGGUCUUCAACGAGGAAUUCCUAGUAAACGCAAGUCAUCAACUUGCAUUGAUUACGUCCCUGCCCUUUGUACACACCGCCCGUCGCACCUACCGAUUGAAUGGUCCGGUGAAGCCUCCGGAUUGGCGCGCACCUCGGUGCCGCCGAGAAGUUGGCUAAACCUUACCAUUUAGAGGAAGGUGAANUCGUAACA
rnacentral:rRNA from 1 species